GGGCCGAUAGCUCAAUUGGUAGAGCGCCACAUUUGCAAUGUGGAGGUCUGGGGUUCGAGUCCCCAUCGGUCCACAA
rnacentral:tRNA from 1 species